UACGAAGGGGGCUAGCGUUGUUCGGAUUUACUGGGCGUAAAGCGCACGUAGGCGGAUCUUUAAGUCAGAGGUGAAAUCCCAAGGCUCAACCUUGGAACUGCCUUUGAUACUGGGGAUCUUGAGUCCGGGAGAGGUGAGUGGAACUGCGAGUGUAGAGGCGAAAUUCGUAGAUAUCGGGAGGAACACCAGUGGCGAAGGCGACUACCUGGCCUGUUCUUGACGCUGAGGCGCGAAAGCUAGGGGAGCAAACGGG
rnacentral:rRNA from 1 species